UCAUUAUUGUUCACUAGCACAGAGGGAGGAGUCUAUGACUGUGACAUCACUCGUCAUUAGUUCUGGGCAAGCGCUCCGUUUUUCGGUGGCUGUCAGCGGGUCGCUCAUAGAUCUGCUUCCCUGUGUAACUGGAGAGUCAGCGAUCAUUUCCCAACAACCUUUCAUGAACGGUCUGAAAUUUUUCACUCCAACUUUUGUACCUCUCCGAUCUGAUCAGGACCCAAAAACUGCAAGUAGUGGAUGUAACAGGUAACAUCAGUCUGCAGGAAUCUACUGGUUGUCCUUUUUCUCGAUCGUGACUGCAGACCAGAAAAAUACUUUAAAAGACUUUACUGUCUGUCUCCCUCGUGGGCUUUACCUGUGCAGACCAGAAAAACAUCACAGCUGAGUCUGGACAGGACGUCACUCUGACAUGUCGAGCUUCAAACAACAACAUCAUAGUUGUAAAAUGGAGCAGAGCUGAUCUGAAGUCAGAUUAUGUCCUUUUGUUCCGGGAUUAUCUGUUUGUUCCAGUUUACCAGCAUCCAUCUCUUAAGAACCGGGUGGAUCUGCAGGACAGACAGAUGAAGGAUGGAGACGUGUCUGUGAUUCUGAAGGAUGUGACAACUGCUGAUAAUGGAACAUACAAAUGUCAUGUUAUCAUGAAAGAAACACGCCCAUGGAAAUCCAUCAGCAUCAUCACGUUUAUGUAUGCUUUGAAGACAAUCCAACAACAUUGUACACUAAGACAGUUCAUAGGUGCUUCUUAUUUUCCUUUACAUGGAAAAAAACGUGUUUAUUACAAUAAAAAGUCAUAUUGUAUUAAUUUGUGUGACAAAUCCACCAGUAGAUAUAAUACUGUAUAUUAUAGUAUCUGCUGCUCCACAUGAAAUGUGUGAAUAUUGAGAUAUUAAAUCAUGUUAUUUGUAUCUCACAGUGAGACAGACUGUGAACGCUUACAGGCAAACAUCACACUCAUGAUCAGUGAUUCAUUUUUCUCUGAACUUUAAAUUAAAUACAUUUUACUUCAUGUAGUUGUUUGUUCUGAGUCACUUUAUAAGACCCUUUCUGACCUGUACAGUCUGUUGAUGGUGUAAGUAAAGUUUCUUGACAUGAAUGUUGUUUCCUGCUGCUUGAUGAGUA